CAAAUCAGGUAGGACUACCCGCUGAACUUAAGCAUAUCAAUAAGCGGAGGAAAAGAAACUAACAAGGAUUCCCCUAGUAACUGCGAGUGAAGCGGGAAAAGCUCAAAUUUGUAAUCUGGCGGUCUUGGGCCGUCCGAAUUGUAAACUAGAGAAGUGUUAUCCGCGCUGGACCGUGUACAAGUCCCCUGGAAUGGGGCGUCAUAGAGGGUGAGAAUCCCGUCUUUGACACGGACUACCAGGGCUUUGUGAUGCGCUCUCAAAGAGUAGAGUUGUUUGGGAAUGCAGCUCAAAAUGGGUGGUAAAUUCCAUCUAAAGCUAAAUAUUGGCGAGAGACCGAUAGCGAACAAGUACCGUGAGGGAAAGAUGAAAAGAACUUUGGAAAGAGAGUUAAACAGUACGUGAAAUUGCUGAAAGGGAAACGCUUGAAGUCAGUCGCGUUGGCUAGGGAUCAGCCUUACUUUUGUGGGGUGUACUUCCUUGUCGACGGGUCAGCAUCAGUUUUGGCUGCUGGAUAAAGGCUGGGGGAAUGUGGCAUCCUCGGAUGUGUUAUAGCCCUUGGUUGGAUACAGUGGCUGGGACUGAGGAACUCAGCACGCGCAAGCUGUGCUUAGGAUGCUGGCAAA
rnacentral:rRNA from 1 species